AACAGGAGCUGCAGCCCACAGCACAAGAGGGAUUGUCCCGCGGGACCUGGAGACUUGACGAUUUCAGAUUAUUGGCCUGAUUAUUUGCAGAAGGCCUGAUCCAAGUUCCCAAAAGGCCUGCUGCUGUCCACAGAAAGGACCUUGGAGUGUUUGUCCUAAGGAACUGAAUCUGAGCUAAAGGAUUUAUAGGGCUGUUAUUAUAAAGUGAGGCCAAACUAGCUCUGAACAUUGCUUGGGAUUCUGGCUUUUAUAUCUAGGUUCAUCCUCUGGAGUCAGACAGAAUCAACUUACCACCUGCCCUUUAAGAACUGCAGAGAUGGCUAUCGCGUUCACCUCAAGGUUUUAUUACCUGACAUGCUCCCUCGUGGAUCCAGACCCUUGGAAUUCCAGCCUCCCUACUUGUUACAAGGCUUGAGUUGGGAGAUGUUAUUAAUAAGA